AGGGAGUAUAAAACAGACUAAAGGAAAACUAUCGGUGAUUACUGUAAUACUUCUAAAUGGGUGUUGGCCUGGACGCUCGGCAGAGUAGAAAUCGUGUACAUCAUCGUCCGAACCACGCCAUUGGUCGCUUCUCCAUCUUCAUUUGCUGUUUUGGACAAGCUUAAUUCAACGACACACACCGCAUGCUGACGCACAAGAUGCCCUGGUAAAGUAUACAUUAUGACCUAAGAGGUUAUGGAUUGGUAAUAGUAGUAUGUAUUAGAGAGAGAGAGAGAGAGAGAGAGAGAGAUGGUGCAUGUUACGUUGGUUUCUAGGGAAACUGUAAGGAACUGAUGUGACUCGACCUAAACAUGUGGGCCAAAAAUAAACCCAUGAAACAACACUUCCACGCUGUCCAGGAUGGCCCAAUUUAAAGGCACGUUGGAUUAGAGUCCAGUAUGUAAACGCAUGUAACAAGAAUACCUUAAGAGAUCGUACAAAACUAGGUUAUAGAAAGAAAGGACAUGCCUAUAUAAACAACUGCCGUGGCACAAAUAGACCUAAAACUCAAUCUCUUCUCAGGAGCACCAACAAAAUCGACAGAACAUACGCUUUCAAUUCAAGGUACGACAACAGUCAAACAACUUCUAAAUUCAGGUAUAGUUCUUCUCCCUCUCUCUUAAUCCUCAGUUACAAUCUUAUUCUAGCGUGAUACUCUACUAUAUUUUGGGGUUGUGUGGCGGCUCCCAUAGGGCUCAAGUCCAUUAAGAAGCACAGGGUACUGCAGGGAAUUCACUUGCAGUUUAUAGAUCAGAUGAGGGUUCCCAUAAUAUUUAGUAUCACUACCUCAUUAAAUUUGUCCAAAAAGAAAACCUCAUUAAUCAGGUAUAGAUUGCUUCGGUCAGCUUGUACCACAAAGAGAUUGGAACAUAAAAUCCUUUUAUCAGUAAAAAUUUCUGCAAAAUCACUGGUCUUGAAAAGUGAUCUCCUUUAAUUAUACGACCACAAAUAUAUUUUAUAAGUUCAUUUAAGGUAAUAAAAAUAUUGAAUCUUCAUAAACUUAUAAAAUUAUUUUAUAACUUGAGUGUUAUUUCAAGUGCCGGGGCAAUGUACUCCCCUGUACAACAAGCACAUUAAUCUUAAUCACCGUCCAUCGGCCACCAGACCACGAUUUGUCUGUAACAAUAUUAUAAUAUCGUUCACUUUGGUUUACAUUUGAAAUCUCCAUUAUGCAGGAACACAACAUGAAAAGAAAAGGUGGGCCACAUAGCAAGGAAUGUGAGAAACCUGCCAAGGUGGUUAAAACAAAUCAAAUAUGCACUCCAACAAGGUGAUCCAUUACUAAUCUUGAAUAUUUUAUAUGUGAAAUCCCACUAAUAUUUUAAAAAACAAAGCAAUUCCAGUUACGCACUCUGAGGUUCCUAAUUGGUUGUAGCUUUCACGAGAAAAACUAUAUUUUAAUUUUUAAUCUUAUUGAUGCAAAUCCAGACAAUCAGCAAAAAUCGCAAGAUUGGAAAGGGUAAUGAAACUUCAAGAGAAUAAAAACAGACGAUCUUCAAUCAUACAUGGAGGUCUGCCAGAUUCCGCGAACAUACACAAAGGACAACCUUUGCUCCACGUGAAGUAAGAAAAUCUUCACGAAGUUUCUCUCUUAUGCAUCUUAUCAUCCAUUUGGUUCAAUUAUAUUUCUCAAUUCAAAUGCUAAACUUUAACAUUAAUGAUGCAUGGCUGGUAUUACAUCAUACAGGAAGCAACUGUUAGAGUUAUAAUAUAAGUCAUGUACCCCUUUGUAUUUAUCCCAUUGUAUAAGGGGUUUCCUGCAUAUGUUCCACACCUGUACAUGUAUAUAUAUCGGCCUAUGGCCUCAUGGGAAUACAGGUUGCAUAUUUCCUAACAUGGUAUUAGAGCCCUAUGGUUUUUUUUCGCACACCGCAACUCGUGCUCUUCUGAUCCCAUCUCUUGCUGCCGCUAUCCUUCGUCGGCCGGCCGUCGUUGUUCCUCUCACCCACACACUCACGUGCUGUGCUCCCUCCCUCUCUCGUCGCUGCUUUUCCGUGCCUCAAACCGCUGCCGCCGUCCAGAUCGCCCCAACCCAUCUCGCUGCAGAUCGACGCCGCUUGGAUUGGGGCGGGCCCCUGCGCCGCCGUCCGCCACUUGCCCGCCUCCGUCGCUGUCCGGCAGCCGUCCUCUCGCCAGCCCGCCGUGUAGCGCGUGCAGGAAGUCAGCCGCCGCUGCGAUCGGUUCGUGGCCUCUUCGUGCGUUGACCUGGACAUCGUUCCUUUGGGCCACGCCUUGGACGAUUUUUGGGCCUGGCUGGCUGUUGGCCUGCUGCCUUGGGCAUCUGCUGUAACUCCUCACGCCACGUCGUUCUGGUGGCUUGGCUAGCUUGUGCUUGUCCACUUGCGGCUGCUGCACCAUCUUCCUCCCGUGCAGGCCCGUGACGUGGUGCAUCAGCCUCCUCCACUUGUUGUCAUCUGAUCUGCUCCGCCGCCGCCUACUGGUCCCGAUCUGAUUUGCUCGGCCGCUCUGUUGGCUGUUUGACUGGUUGCCUUCUGUAAAAAAAAAAAGAAAAAAAAAAGCAUAAUGUUGUCGGUGCUUGGUGCUCGUCCGUAUGUGCUAUCGUCCCCUGUGGCAACUCUCGCACGUGGUGAUUGUCGCUCUACAUCGACUCCUCCUGCGACUUUCAUCGGUGAUUAUCGUUCUACACCGGCUCCUCUCACGGCCCCCAUCGGAUGUGUUGAUGCAUAUGACUCUAUUGACCCGCGUCUUCCUUUGGCGCUUGGGGCUUGUCUGCAUGUGCCCUCGUCUCCUUCACCGGCCUCUACGGAUGAUGUUGGUUAUGCUAUGUCGCCUCCUCUGGCGGCUUCCACAGGUGGUGGUGGGCCUGGUGGCCGCUCCUCUCCCAGUGCUACUGCGUCGUCUACUUCAGCUAUGUACUUCACCGAGCAGGAGAUUGUGGGACUUCGUGGUUUGCUGACCGCCUCCGGCUCUUCAUUGCCGGGUGCAUCUACGUCGACCUCUUCAGUUGAGCUCCUGACUGAGCAGGAGAUUACGCGCCUUCGGUGCUUGCUCGCUGCAUGCUCUGGUUCUUCACCGACGAGUUCUGCUGGUUCUGCUACUGACUCCUCUGGCAUUGUGAGACCACCUUCAACACAGUCAGGUACAUCUCCAUGGAUUCUUGAUACUGGAGCAUCUUUUCAUAUGACUCAUGAUUCAUCCACCUUGUCUUCUAUUCGUGCUCUUGAUUCUCCUAUUCAUGUUCUUACUGCUGAUGGUACCUCCCUCCCGUUCGAGUGCUGAGGCUGAGUUGCGAGCCAUGGCUCUUUUGACGGCAGAGGUGACUUGGUUACGGUGGUUACUUCAGGAUUUUGGUGUUUCUGUCACUACACCGACUCUCUACACUGACUCUGCUCUUAUCUGACAGUACAGGUGCUAUUAGCAUUGCGCGCGAUCCUGUGAAGCAUGAGCUCACCAAGCAUAUUGGUGUUGAUGCUUUCUAUGUGCGCGCUGGUGUGCAGGAUCAGGUUAUUGCUCUUCAGUAUGUGCCUUCCGAGUUACAGUUGGCGGAUUUCCUGACGAAGGCCCAGACUAGAGCACAACAUGGCUUUUAUCUCUCCAAACUCAGUGUUGUUCAUCCACCAUGAGUUUGAGGGGGGGUGUUAAGAGUUAUAAUAUAAGUCAUGUACCUCUUUGUAUUUAUCCCGUUGUAUAAGGGGUUUCCUGCAUAUGUUCCACACCUGUACAUGUAUAUAUAUCGGCCUAUGGCCUCAUGGGAAUACAAGUUGCAUAUUUCCUAACAGCAACAUUAUGUACCUUUCUUAUGCUAUCCACAUCUACUCUGCUAUCUAUGUGCUCAAAUCUUCAAGUGCGGCUAAUUUAGAAUGGUCCACCAAAUCUCAAAAAAAAAAUACACAUAACAAUGAACUAUAGCCAAUGCAAAAAAAAAUGUUAAAUUAACACAAGGAGUAAUAAGUUCAUUCUGCCAGACAAAAAAUAAUCUCUUAAUUCUACUAAUUAGUAUUUAUGUUUAUGCAGGGCAAGUAACUCAAGAGAAAAGGCAAAAGAGGCAAGACGACAUAGGAAAAGAAUAAUGCAAGCCAAGAAGCUUGCACAAAUAUCGACAAAAGAAGGAGAAAUGAUUGGCCAGGCUGGUAAUACUAUGAGGUAACGAACAAGAAAUUACAAUCAGGAUCUAAAAUUUGGAGAUUCGUGAAUCUGAUAAUUUCUGCUAUGUGCGUGUACAACUCAAAAGGUAAUAAAAUAUCUACUACAUCAAAAUCGGUGAGAAAGAAACAAAGACAACAUUUGUAAGUUCUAUCAAGUUUUUAUACUAUCAACAACACCAGACAUUAAUAAUGUUUCAAUUUAUGCUAAAUCCAAAACUUUAACAGGCAAUCAGAGAGGACUGAUAUGGAAAUUUGGAACUUCGGAAAACCCAAAUGCAAGUGUGAAUGAUGCGGUGCAAUUUUCUGGUAUGAAGAAAGAACUUCAGGUAGAGCGAAAAGCAUGCCAUCUUUUGGACUAUGCUGCCAACAUGGCAAGGUUGAGUUGCCACCAUUAAGAGAGCCACCGACUUACCUAGUGAAAUUGCUAAGGAAAGACAACGGAAAGACGUCAAAAAACUGCUUGCAAAAUAUCAGAUUGUACAACUCCAUGUUCGCUUUCACAACAAUGGGAGGAAAAGUAGACAAAGAAAUAAACAAUGGCAGUGGGCCAUAUGUUUUUAGAAUGAAUGGGCAGAACUACCACAGAAUAGGUACUCUAUUGCCUGAAGGUGAAGAUAAACCACGUUGGGCACAACUGUACAUCUAUGAUAAUGAAAAUGAGGUAAGAAACAGGAUUAAUGCUUCGACAAGGGAAGAUAAAAGGGAGUCAAUAGAUCCUCACAUCGUAGAGGGCCUUAAAAAUAUGCUUGAUAGAGAUAACAUACUUGCAAAAACUUUCAGAAUGGCAAGGGACAGAUUCGAAGAAGGUGACUAUCAAAACGUGAGAUUAAAAGUAAUCAAUAAGCGACGCUCAGAUGGAAGACGAAGUGACAUGCCAUCUGCAAGUGAAGUUGCAGCCUUGAUUGUCAAUGAUGCCACGGAAAGUAGAAAAGGACGGGAUAUCAUUGUUGAGUACAAAAACAUGAAGCCAAGAAGAAUAUCAGAGAACCAUCCAAAAUUCAUGGCUAUGCAGUAUCCACUAUUGUUCCCAUAUGGAGAAGAUGGGUACAGACAAAAUAUACCUUACAUAUUAAAACAAGGUGCAAAAUGUAAGAGAAAGCAUGUAACAAUGUUGGAAUACUAUGCAUAUCGUCUACAACAACGUACUAACCAAUCGAUGCACUUGCUGGUGUGUGAAAAGCUUACAUUGCAGUUCAUUGUGGAUGCCCUUGCAUGCAUUUUGCAGUAGACUGGACUGGGUAAAAAAUAAUCAAGGAAACCUACGAACGGAAUUAUAUGCUGGCUUACAGGAUGCAAUAGAAAGAGGAGAUACAAGGGCUGACCAAGUAGGAAAAAGGAUACUGCUGCCAUCCACAGUCACAGAUAGCCCUAGAAGCACAAAACUUCCAAGAUGCUAUGGCAAUAUGUCGGUGGGCUGGAUACCCAGACCUAUUUGUGACAUUCACGUGCAACGCAGCAUGGCCGGAGAUUGAGGCUAUGCUACACAAAGUAGCCCAAACAGCAUACGAAAGGCCUGAUAUUGUUGAUCGAGUAUUCCACAUAAAACUCAAGGAGUUCAUGAGAGAUAUAAGAGAAAGGGAAUACUUCGGAAAAACACUCACAAGUAAUAUAUCAUACUGACUUUAUCAAACAUCUUAUUUAAUUGCCUGAACUAACUGUUAUUUUAUAAAAUUGCAGUUAUAUACACAAUAGAGUUUCAAAAAAGGGGCCUCCCACAUGCCCACAUAGUCAUAUUCCUCGACAAAAAGGAAAAGAAACACAAGUAUCCAGAGCCAUCAGAGGUAGAUAGAGUAACUUGCGCAGAGAUACCAGACAAGGAAAUUGACCCAGAAGGAUAUGCAGCUGUGGAAAACUACAUGAUGCACGGGCCAUGUGGUGCAGCAAACACAAAGUCACCAUGCAUGGUCGACAACAGAUGCAUAAGAAAGUUCCCCAAAAAAUACAACAACAAUACCACUGUCGAUGAAGAUGGAUACCCAGUAUAUAGAAGACGAGACGAUGGAAGAUUCAUACAGAAAGGGGGAAUAAAGUUGGAUAACAGAUACGUAGUCCCAUACAACAGAAAUCUGCUGGUGAAAUAUCAAGCACAUAUAAAUGUCGAGGUGUGCAACAGAUCUUUAUCCAUAAAAUACCUUUUUAAAUACAUAAAUAAAGGUGAUGACCAAGCAACAGCACUAAUAGAAAACGAUGAGAUAAAAAGGUACCUAGAAUGCACAUAUAUAACAGGGAAUGAUGCGUGUUGGAGAACAUUCCAAUUCAAAAUGCACUUCAGAGAUCCCUGCGUCGAAAGGUUGCCUUUCCACCUGGAAAAUGAGCAACAAGUAAUUUUCUCAGAUUCUACAGAUUUAACCAAGAUAGUCAGGAAAGAAAGAGUAGGAAUCACUAAAUUUACACAGUGGAUGGAGACAAACAAGAUGUGUGAAGAAGCCAGAGAAUUAACAUAUGCAGAAUUCCCAUCAAAAUGGGUGUGGAAAAAGAAAGAGACAAAGUGGAGCAAAAGGAAGAAAGGAAGAUCGGUUGGAAGUGUUAGAGUUAUAAUAUAAGUCAUGUAUACCCCUUUGUAUUUAUCCCUAGUAUAAGGGGUUUCCUGCAUAUGUACCACACCUGUACAUGUAUAUAUAUCGGCCUAUGGCCUCAUGGGAAUACAAGUUGCUUAUUCCUAACAUGGUAUUAGAGCUUUAGGUCUCUUUUUCGCACGCGCAACUCGUGCUACGAUCCCAUCCCCUCCGCCGCCGCGGUUUAUCUUCGCCUUGGCGUCGCUGCUGUGCCCCUCCAGCCGCCGUCGUCCGUCCCUCCCGUGGUCGUCCGCUCCUCCCGUGGUCGUCCGCCCCUCCCGGAGCCUCCUGCCCGGACUCGUACGCCCCUCACGCCAGGCGCCGUCGUCUGCCCCUCCCGCCAGGACUCGCCAGGCGCCGUCGUCCGCCCCUCCCGCCCGGACUCGUGCGCCCCUCACGCCAGGCGCCGUCGUCCUCCCCUCCCGCCUGGAUUCUUUUGACGGCAGAGGCGCUCGUGCAGCAGGGCCUCUGGCCGCCGUUCGCUCGUGGUCCUCUGGCCAGGUCCCUCUCCUCCCGAUCGUCUACUGCUGUCGUCUAAGGUCUGCUGCGCCGGAUCUCGCUCCCAGCCGUCGUCCUCGUCCGGCCUCUGCUAUUUUCGGAUCUUUGCAAAAAAAAAAAACAUGUCUGCUUCAUCAGGCUACGUUGCUGUCCCUCGCUGUCCGGUGAUCUUCGAUGGUACCAACUACACCGAGUUCGCUGGCUUCAUGCGCAUUCACAUGCGUGGCAUUCGUCUCUGGGAUGUUCUUUCUGGCGAGGUCUGCUGUCCGCCACGUCCGGUCCCUCCGGUGGCCCCUACUCCGCCGACUUCACUGGUUCUUCCUCCGGACGCUACUCAGGCCGCCAAGGAUGCGGCUAAGAUUGCUGAUGAGGCUGCUGAUCGUGCCUAUGAUGAGAGGGCUUUGGCUUAUGAGGAGGCUCUUCAGACGUAUCAUGGUGCUUUGUCUGUUUACACCCAGUGGCUUGAUGAUGAUGCUCGUGCUGCAGCUGUUCUCACUGCUAGUGUUCUGCCUCAGUUUUCUUCUGAGUUUCUGGGUCUUCCUACUGUCUUCCAGAUGUGGACCUGUCUUCGUCAGCGCUAUGAGCCCUCUGGUGAUGCCUUAUACCUUUCUGUGGUUCGUCAGGAGCAUGCUCUUCAGCAGGAUGACUCUACUGUUGAUGACUUUUAUGCACAGAGUUCUGCUAUCUGGCGCCAGCUUGAUUCUCUCCGCAGUGCUGGUUGUCGUACUUGCCCCUGCUGCCAGGCUGUCCAGGCCGAUUUGGAGUUUCAUCGCGUCUACGAGUUCCUGUCUCGGCUCCGUAAGGAGUUUGAGCCCCGGCGUGCUCAGUUGCUUGCUCGUGGCCGUAUUUCUCUCAUGGAGGCGCUUUCCGAGAUUCGUGCUGAGGAGACUCGCCUACGUGGUGCUGGUUUGCUGGAGGUUCCCUCUGUGCUCGCUACUCGGGUUUCUUCCACUCCGCCGGCUGCACCGCCCCAUUCUCGCUCGAGUGCUCCGCCGCUCUUGCCCACUCCUUCUGGAGGCUCAGGUCGGCCCCGUUCACAUUGUGACUACUGCAACAAUGAUGGUCAUAUUGAGUCCCAGUGCUACACAAAGCGGAAACACCUGCGCAAGGCGCGAUCAUCCUCCUCAGGGACUUCGUCAUCUCCCUCGCCAGCUUCAGCCAUUGCUUUGACCGAGCAGGAUAUUCUGAGACUUAAGCGUCUGCUCGCGGCUUCAGGUUCUUCCUCGACGGGUACUGCUGGUUCUGUGACUGAUGCUUCCCGCACUGAGCACCCGCCCUCUACACAGUCAGGUACAUCCCCAUGGGUUCUGGAUUCUGGAGCUUCUUUUCAUAUGUCUUCUCAUUCUUCCGCUUUGUCUUCUCUUCGUUCGCUGGAUUCUCCUGUUCAUGUCUUCACUGCUGAUGGUACUCCACUUUCUGUUGCUAGUAGAGGCCAUCUUUCUACUCCUUAUUCUGUUCCUGAUGUUGCUCAUGUUCCACGACUUACCAUGAAUCUGUUUUCUGCCGGUCAACUUACUGAUUCUGGUUGUCGUGUCAUCCUUGAUGUUGACUCUUGUUCUGUCCAGGAUCGUCGCACGCACACUCUGGUUGGGGCUGGCCCUCGCCGCCGUGAUUCUCAGGGUCUUUGGGAGUUGGACUGGCUUCAUGUUCCUUCCGCUGCCACCACCAUGCCAGUCCCUCCGCUGCUGUCGCCUCUAUUACUGGGUCCUUCAAGCAGUGGCAUCAUCGACUUGGUCAUCUGUGUGGUUCUCGGUUAUCGUCUUUAGUUCGUCGAGGUCUUCUGGGGUCUGUCUCAGGAGAUGUUUCUUUAGAGUGUCAGGGUUGUCGUCUUGGCAAGCAGAUUUAGUUACCAUAUUCCCAUAGUGAGUCAGUGUCUAAGCGUCCUUUCGAUUUAGUCCAUUCUGAUGUAUGGGGUCCGGCUCCUUUCGCUUCGAAAGUUGGCCAUAAAUACUAUAUUAUUUUCAUCGAUGAUUUUUCUCAUUACACAUGGCUUUAUUUCAUGACUUCACGUAGUGAGGUGUUGUCUAUUUAUAAGCGUUUUGCUGCCAUGGUUCAUACUCAGUUCUCUUCCCCCAUUCGUGUUUUUCGUGCUGACUCCGCUGGUGAGUAUAUCUCUAAGAUGUUGCGUGGUGUCCUUGCUGAGCAGGGUACUCUUGCCCAGUUCUCUUGUCCUGGUGCUCAUGCUCAGAAUGGCGUGUCUGAGCGCAAGCAUCGUCACCUUCUUGAGACGGCUCGUGCUAUGAUGAUCGCCGCCUCUCUUCCGCCUCAUUUUUGGGCCGAGGCUAUCUCCACUUCCGUCUAUCUCAUCAACCUUCAGCCAUCUGCUGCUUUGCAGGGUGGUGUUCCUUUUGAGCGUCUGUUUGAUCGUUCUCCCGAUUAUUCGAUGCUUCGCUUGUUUGGUUGUGUUUGCUAUGUUCUUCUUGCCCCUCGCGAACGCACCAAACUGACUGCUCAGUCUGUUGAGUGUGUCUUCUUAGGCUACAGUGAUGAGCAUAAGGGCUAUCGUUGUUGGGAUCCUGUCGGUCGUCGGAUGCGUAUCUCUCGAGACGUGACUUUUGAUGAGUCUCGUCCUUUUUACCCACGCCCAUCUUCCUCGGUCUUUUCCGUGGAGGAUAUCUUUUCUCACUUUUCCUGACUCCCCUAUCACUCCCGUCGCGCCUGUGCCUAUUCGUCCCACUCCCUCUGCUUCUUCACCCCUCGUCGAUUCACCGCCACCAUCUUCCCCGGUCUCCUCACCUAGCAUGUCACCGGAUUCUACACCUUCAUCUCCGGUGACUUCUUCGUCGCCACCCCCUGAUUCUACCUUGGCGAUUCCUCCUUCUCUUGUUCCAUCUCUUCCUCAGCAUUACACUCGUCGUUCACGGCCUGUGGAUGCUUCCUUGGAUGAGUCGUCCUCUUCCUCUCAGCCUACUUAUGGCUUGCGUUCUCGUCCUCGUCCGCCUAUUGAUCGCUUUGGAUUUCCCACCGCUGGUGCUGCUGUUCUUGAGCCGACUUCUUACCGUCAGGCUGUUGUUCAUCCUGAAUGGCAGUUUGCGAUGGCAGAGGAGAUUGCUGCUCUUGAACGCACUGGUACCUGGGAUCUUGUUUCUCUUCCUCCCGGAGUCCGUCCCAUCACUUGUAAGUGGGUCUACAAGGUUAAGACUCGCUCCGAUGGUUCUCUUGAGCGUCACAAAGCUCGUCUCGUGGCUCGUGGUUUUCAGCAGGAGCAUGGUCGUGAUUAUGACGAGACUUUUGCUCCUGUGGCCCAUAUGACCACUAUUCGUACACUUCUUGCUGUUGCCUCUGCACGCCACUGGUCUAUAUCUCAGCUUGAUGUUAAGAAUGUCUUUCUUAAUGGUGAGCUGCGUGAGGAGGUGUACAUGCAGCCACCACCUGGGUAUUCUGUUCCUGAUGGCAUGGUGUGUCGUCUUCGUCGCUCUCUCUAUGGCCUUAAGCAAGCCCCUCGUGCCUGGUUUGAGCGUUUUGCUUCUGUGGUCACUACUGCUGGUUUUUCAGCAAGUGCUCAUGAUCCCGCAUUGUUUAUUCACCUUUCUCCUCGUGGCCGGACUCUUCUUCUUCUCUAUGUUGAUGAUAUGGUCAUCACUGGGGAUGACCCCGAGUAUAUUGCCUUUGUAAAGGCUCGUCUUAGUGAGCAGUUUCUUAUGUCUGAUCUUGGACCUCUUCGCUACUUUCUUGGGAUUGAAGUCUCUUCUACCUCUGAUGGCUUUUUUAUAUCCCAGGAAAAGUAUAUCCAGGAUCUUCUUGCUCGUGCUGCUCUUUCCGACGAGCGCACUGUUGAGACUCCUAUGGAGCUCAAUGUUCACCUCCGUGCUACUGAUGGUGAUCCUCUCCCUGACCCGACGCGUUAUCGUCAUCUCGUUGGCAGUCUAGUCUAUCUAGCUGUCACUCGUCCGGACAUCUCUUAUCCGGUUCAUAUUCUGAGUCAGUUUGUCUCUGCUCCCACAUCGGUUCAUUAUAGUCAUCUCCUUCGUGUUCUCCGAUAUCUUCGGGGCACGAUCUCUCAUCGUCUCUUCUUUCCUAGCUCCAGCUCUUUACAGCUUCAGGCCUAUGCGGAUGCUACGUGGGCUAGUGAUCCUUUUGAUCGCCGUUCGCUUUCUGCUUACUGUGUUUUUCUUGGCGGAUCUCUCAUUGCCUGGAAGACGAAGAAACAGAUUGCAGUUUCCCGUUCGAGUGCUGAGGCUGAGUUGCGAGCUAUGGCUCUUUUGACGGCAGAGGUGACUUGGUUACGGUGGUUACUUCAGGAUUUUGGUGUUUCUGUCACUACACCGACUAUGCUCUUAUCUGACAGUACAGGUGCUAUUAGCAUUGCGCGCGAUCCUGUGAAGCAUGAGCUCACCAAGCAUAUUGGUGUUGAUGCUUUCUAUGUGCGCGCUGGUGUGCAGGAUCAGGUUAUUGCUCUUCAGUAUGUGCCUUCCGAGUUACAGUUGGCGGAUUUCCUGACGAAGGCCCAGACUAGAGCACAACAUGGCUUUUAUCUCUCCAAACUCAGUGUUGUUCCUCCACCAUGAGUUUGAGGGGGGGUGUUAGAGUUAUAAUAUAAGUCAUGUAUACCCCUUUGUAUUUAUCCCGUAGUAUAAGGGGUUUCCUGCAUAUGUACCACACCUGUACAUGUAUAUAUAUCGGCCUAUGGCCUCAUGGGAAUACAAGUUGCUUAUUCCUAACAGGAAGGAUAUAUUAUGCCCAUCCAGCAAGUGGACAAAAAUACUAUAUGCGAAUGCUACUUAACGUCAAGAAAGGAUGCACAUGUUUUGAAGACAUAAGAACAGUUAAUGGAGUUGUCCACGCAUCAUACAAAUCUGCUUGUGAAGCACUAGGAUUUCUUGAUGAUGACAAAGAGUGGCUUGAGUGCAUCAAGGAGGCAUCAAAUUGGGCGACUGGCAACCAGCUAAGGUAGCUAUUCACAACAAUUUUAAGCCACUGCGAAGUCACAAGCCCAAAAAAACUGUGGGAAUCAUGCUCGGAGGUAUUAAGCGAAGACAUGGAGUACAAACAGAGAAAAUUAUUGAACUAUCCUACACUAUGCCUCACAGCAUCACAGAAGCAAGGACACGCCUUGGUGGAAAUAGAGAAGCUCAUGAGACAAGCUGGAAGAACACUUAAGGAAUACCCCAGAAUAGAACUUCCAAAUUCUUCGGAAAUAAAGGAACUUGGAAACAAGCUACUAAAUGAAGAAAUUAAUUACGACAAAGAGCAGCAAAGAGAAGAGCAUUUGAAGAUCUUUGGUAGUCUCAACUAUGAACAACGUCUUGCAUUUGACACAAUAAUGGAAUCUGUUGACAAUGAUUUUGGAAAACAAAUUUUUGUGGACGGAUAUGGUGGGACAGGUAAGACAUACCUAUGGAAGGCGAUCACAACAAAGUUGCAUUCUGAAGGGAAGAUAGUACUAGCAGUUGCAUCAUCUGGUAUUGCAGCACUGCUUCUAGAAGGAGGGAGAACAACACACUCGAGGUUCCACAUUCCACUAAUCCUUACAGAAGAGUCAACAUGUGACAUCAAACAGGGUUCACACUUGGCACAACUACUAAAAAAGACGUCGCUAAUACUAUGGGAUGAAGCUCCAAUGGCAAACAAGAUAUGUUUUGAGGCGCUAGAUAGGACUCUAAGGGAUAUAUUAAGACAUAAGAGUGAGAACAGCAGCGACAGGCCAUUCGGUGGCAUGACAAUGGUUCUAGGAGGGGACUUCCGCCAGAUCCUUCCUGUUAUACCAAAGGGAAGAAGACACAACAUAGUCACUGCAUCCAUUAAAAUAUCUUACCUUUGGAAGAACUUUCAGGUAAUGAAGCUAACAAAGAACAUGCGGCUGAACUGCACAACAAAUGAUGAAUCCGAGAAACAAAAGAUAGCAGAAUUUGCAGAGUGGAUUCUCAAUAUCGGCGAUGGAAAAAAUACAUCAUCAGAAGGUGAGGAAUUGAUAAAAAUACCAAAUGACAUACUUCUCAAGAAAGGAAAUGAUCCCAAAAAUACAGUUGUGGAGAGCAUAUAUCCCAAUUUGCAGGAGAGGUAUCGCCAACGAGAAUACUUAGAAGAAAGAGCAAUAUUAUGUCCAAGAAAUGAAACAGUUCACGAUAUAAAUGAGUAUAUAAUGGAUCAGAUACAAGGUGAAGAGAAAACUUAUCUAAGCUGUGACACAGUAUGCAAAGCAACUACCUUCAAUGCAGAAACAGAAUUAUUAUAUCCAACGGAAUUCCUGAAUAGCUUACCAUUUCCUGGAAUCCCAAAUCACGAGCUGAAAUUAAAAGUCGGCAUACCUGUGAUGCUACUACGUAAUAUCAACCAAAGUGCUGGUUAUGCAAUGGUACAAGGAUGACGAUUACUCAGCUUGGAAGAAGAUUCAUUGAAGCACAGAUAAUAACUGGAACCCAUGUGGGAGAAAAGGUAUAUGUUCCAAGAAUAGUGAUGUAACCAACUGAAUCAGCGUGGCCAUUUGUUCUAAAAAGGCGACAAUAUCCUAUAUCAGUUUGCUUUGCUAUGACUAUCAACAAGAGCCAGGGACAAUCUCUAAAUAGAGUAGGACUAUAUCUGCCUAAACAAGUUUUCACACAUGGACAGUUAUACGUAGCCUUCUCAAGAGUAACAAAAAGGGAGGGACUGCGGGUAAUGGUAGAUGAUGAAGAUAGCAAUGAGGAUGAUGUGGUCAAGAACAUAGUCUAUACAGAGAUAUUCUGAAGGUAUGAACAAAUAACAGAAUUUCAGCAUGAUGUUUCUUUAACUAGAUGAGGCAUUACUAUUACGUAAGAAUUACAUAUAUAGGAACUUACUACACUGCAAAAUCUAUUACAAAUAGAGUCUGACUUAACUAUGCUAACAUGAUAUGGCAGGUCAAAUAUGGUCUACUACACUGCCAAAGUAAUGCAAACAUGCAUCAACAGGUGGAAAUACUACAUUACUACCAAACAUCAAAGAUCUAUAUUAUGUAAUACUUGAUUCUAUAAGCUUAUUAUAUUUCAUAAAAACAAAUAGAAAAAGCAUCGGGACGUUGUAAUAUUGCAUAUGUACAAUGCUAUCAGACCUGUUUUCAUAUUCAGCUAUUAUCUAUUAAUUUUUGUACGCGUCGAAACGGUUCAUUACUACCAAACAAUGACAAAAUAUAUUAUCUAAAGUUUUAUUGUACGAGCUUAAUAUUUCAUGCAAACCAAUAGUGAAAGCAUGGGAAAAUUAUUAUAAUUCGUAUUAAUAUGCAAUCAGACUGGUUUCCAUAUUAAAUACAGUAUACUCUGGGAAAUAUUUCAACUAUAGCCAAUCAAAACUCUACAAAUUCUUUGAUAAGUGUGUUCAAUAUUAGCAGGGGUAGGGGGGUCUAACACUGCCAAUGCCGGUCCCAAGCCCGGAAAAAAGUGGAGGGGGCCAAAAACAAACUAACACUACACCUCACAUAUUGAAUGUAAUAACGUCUUAUAUUAUGGGAGAGAGGGAGUAUUUCGCAUUCACAAAAUACUAUCAUCAACCAAAAAAAAGAACAGCCAGUAUACAUGAUCAUGCAAUGAAUAUAUAUAGUACUAAUUUCCACUGGUGUGUCUACCCAAAUAUAUAAUUACAUUACUUAAUUUCUAUUUUUUGGCGGGAUACUUACAUUACAUAUUACUAUCUACACUGUACCAAAUUAAACACUUGAAGAUCACUUAAAAGAGAAAACUAUGCUAACGUGAUACAAGCAACUGUUGGUACCGCUGAGCAAAUGUAUUUUUUUUUACCAAUGAAAACGUGAGUUUUAUUCCACUGAAAUAGGAUUACAGUCGCUAAGACAAAUUCCGAAGCAGAGUUUGCUACAGAUCGCACCCAACGAGUAGUGCUACCCCAGAAUGGCCAAAAUUAGAAAACCAUAUUUUCAUUGAGCCCACGUAUCUUAAUUUAAGUAAAUCAAACGCUUGGGGAAGAAAACAACACUACCAUCCUCAUACUAAAGCUAGAUCCAAGAAAAUUGCAGACCUGCGGGAGAUGAAAUCCAUGACCGAAUCAGUUGCACAGAAGACAACAUCAACGGCACUGUGCAGAUCAACAAUCUCGCCUACUCCCUGUCGCAACAGAUCCUUGGGACAUGAUACCCCUCCGCCGCCAUUUACCAACCUACAGCAGGUGUAUGAGGAGGAAAACUAGCCGCCGUCGAUGGUCUCCCUGUGGAAGCACCAGGUGCGGGGGUGGACUCAGGUUA
rnacentral:lncRNA from 1 species